AAUGAGUCCCAUCGAAGUUGUCGCAGUGAAGUUGGCUACACAUUCACUAACACAUUCACACCGCGUCGUCGGCACCUCGCCCAUCGGCUCACCGUCGCGGUGUGAAUGUGUUAGCGCGCCAACUUCACUGCGACAACUUCGAUGGAACUCAAUGUACAUGUGCAUCUCACCAUAGCUAAACAAAAGAACGCAACGUCGAGAGAUUUGAGGAGUGGGGCAUAAGCCUUGUCUGUUUCAUUUCGCGUUGCCUUCCUCUCCUGUAGGUCGUGCUCAUUUUACUACUUGCUGCCCAUGCCUGGUGUAUAGAAUACUUUUGUAGACUGACACUUCUGGGCUUCUUUUGUUAAAUUUUAAAUUCAAGGUUUCUAGAAUGAAGACUGGUGUUUAUUAGUUCCUCUAUUGCGGGAGGUAUGUGCUGAGGCAGCGAGUGUCGCGAGUCCCUUGCUUCCGAGUAUUGUCAGGUGCUCCGUGGUUUGUGAUUACUUGAACCUUUUGUGCACCUGGUCGGGUGUUUGGUAUAUAUUCUUGUCUGGCGAGUAGGAUCGUCACUUUAAAGAAUUGUUAUGUACUGUAUCAAGGAAAGAAGAAAGAAAAAAAAGGUGUAAAUAAGAUGGAUUUGUUUCCGCCGCUGCAGGAAGUGUUUUAUUCCUGGCGCACGAACAGGACGUAUGUGAUCUAUCGCGGUCACGUCAAUGUAUUAUAUCGAUUGGCCGUGCAACAGUAGCGGAAGGAGUUUCCCCAAUACUUGCGAGACUUGUAGGACUGGGACGAAGACCGGCUUCUAAACAUUGCGCCGUUCUUUGAAUGAAAUUUGUGUCGAAUGAAAUUUUUUUUUAAUUUUUAUUUUGAAUAAAUUAUCUUUUAUUUUCCUUUUCA